rnacentral:rRNA from 1 species
GUAGGUGGCAAGCGUUGUCCGGAAUUAUUGGGCGUAAAGCGCGCACAGGCGGUUCUUUAAGUCUGAUGUGAAAGCCCACGGGCUCAACCGUGGAGGGUCAUUGGAAACUGGAGAACUUGAGUACAGAAGAGGAAAGCGGAAUUCCACGUGUAGCGGUGAAAUGCGUAGAGAUGUGGAGGAACACCAGUGGCGAAGGCGGCUUUCUGGUCUGUAACUGACGCUGAGGCGCGAAAGCGUGGGGAGCAAACAGGAUUAGAUACCCUGGUAGUCCACGCCGUAAACGAUGAGUGCUAAGUGUUAGGGGGUUUCCGCCCCUUAGUGCUGCAGCUAACGCAUUAAGCACUCCGCCUGGGGAGUACGGCCGCAAAGGCUG